GACAGAGGGUGCAAACGUUGUUCGGAAUUACUGGGCGUAAAGCGCGUGUAGGCGGCUAUGUAAGUCGGGCGUGAAAUCCCACGGCUCAACCGUGGAAGUGCACCCGAAACUGCGUAGCUAGAGUCCUGGAGAGGAAGGUGGAAUGCUUGGUGUAGAGGUGAAAUUCGUAGAUAUCAAGCGGAACACCGGUGGCGAAGGCGGCCUUCUGGACAGUGACUGACCGCUGAGACGCGAAAGCGUGGGGAGCAAACAGGAUUAGAAACCCUGAGAGUACCGUAGU
rnacentral:rRNA from 1 species